GGCGGCAUGGCGAGUGGUAAGGCGGGGGACUGCAAUCCUUUUUCCCCAGUUCAAAUCCGGGUGCCGCCU
rnacentral:tRNA from 1 species